CAUAUCUGCAAAUUAAUCCCAGUAGCCUCCCAAAUCUCCCAAACGGUCUCUACCACUACAGAGUACAGAGAAAUAGAGGGAGAGAGAAAUUGGACGAUCAUCAGAACUCAAUUCAGUUCAGUUCCUACUUCAAUUUCUUUUUCAAUCUCUUUCAUUUUGAGAUUUCCUGCAAUUUCCAUUUCCCUAAUUUCUGGUUUUUUUUAUUGUUUUAUUUACAUUCUAGAGUUUUAGAUUCAUAUGUAACAGUAAUAAACGCACGAGACGAAUCGAUUUCAAAUCAACUAUGGAUCCAGAGAUAGCGAAAACCCAAGAAGAACGCAAAAAAAUGGAGAAAGAGCUUGCCUCUCUCACUACCCUCACCUUCGAUAAAGACCUAUAUGGCGGAACGGACCGCGACGCUUAUGUUACCUCGAUUCCUGUGAAUGAUGAAGAUGAUUUUGAAGUUGGUGACAAUGAAGUUGCUCGAAAGCUUGCUUCUUAUACUGCCCCGAAGUCGCUUCUUAAAGAGAUGCCUCGCGGUGGGGAUGAGAUGGAUGAUGGUGGGUUCAAGAAGCCCUCGAAGAUUAUUGAUCGUGAGGAUGACUAUAGGAGGAGGAGGUUAAAUAGGGUGAUUUCGCCAGACAGGCAUGACGCAUUUGCUGCUGGGGAGAAGACCCCGGAUCCUUCGGUGAGGACGUAUGCAGAUGUGAUGAGGGAGGAGGCGUUGAAGAGGGAGAAGGAGGAGACUCUUAGGGCAAUUGCCAAAAAGAAGAAGGAGGAAGAGGAGGCAGCAAAAGAGGGAAAGGAGAUUGCUGCUGCAGCGACUAAGGAGGCCGCUCCCAAGAGGAGGAAUAGGUGGGACCAGUCACAGGAUGAUGGGGCUGCGGCUAAAAAGGCGAAGACUGGUUCUGAUUGGGAUUUGCCUGAUGCCACGCCUGGAAUUGGAAGAUGGGAUGCCACUCCUACUCCUGGGAGACUGGGGGAUGCAACCCCUUCUGUGGGAAGGAGAAAUAGAUGGGAUGAAACACCAACUCCUGGCAGGUUGGCAGAUUCAGAUGCUACUCCUGCCGGUGGAGUUACUCCUGGGGCUACCCCUGCUGGAGUUACUUGGGAUGCGACUCCCAAAGGUUUGGUCACCCCAACCCCAAAAAGGCAGAGGUCACGUUGGGAUGAGACGCCAGCAACUAUGGGAAGUGCCACACCUAUGGCAGGGGCUACACCAGCAGCUGCUUAUACUCCUGGAGUUACUCCUGUGGGUGGGGUUGAUUUGGCCACUCCUACUCCAAAUGCCAUUAAUUUGCGCGGUGCAAUGACCCCUGAGCAAUAUAAUAUGAUGAGAUGGGAGAAGGAUAUUGAGGAGAGAAACAGGCCCUUGACUGAUGAGGAGCUUGAUGCUAUGUUCCCACAGGAAGGAUACAAGAUUUUGGAGCCUCCAGCAUCUUAUGUGCCAAUUAGAACGCCUGCAAGGAAGUUACUGGCAACCCCAACACCAAUGGGGACUCCUCUUUAUGCUAUUCCUGAGGAUAAUAGGGGUCAGCAGUUUGAUGUUCCAAAGGAAGCUCCUGGUGGGUUGCCAUUUAUGAAGCCAGAGGAUUAUCAGUACUUUGGAGCUUUAUUGAAUGAAGAUGAUGAGGAGGAGUUGUCACCUGACGAGCAGAAAGAGAGGAAAAUUAUGAAGCUCUUGCUGAAGGUUAAGAAUGGGACACCUUCUCAGAGAAAGACUGCUUUGAGGCAGUUGACUGAUAAGGCUAGAGAGUUUGGUGCUGGGCCUUUAUUUAACCGAAUUUUGCCAUUGCUUAUGCAGCCCACUUUGGAAGAUCAAGAAAGGCAUCUUUUGGUUAAGGUAAUUGAUAGGGUUUUGUAUAAGUUGGAUGAAUUGGUCAGGCCUUAUGUUCACAAGAUUCUUGUUGUGAUUGAACCAUUGUUGAUUGAUGAGGACUAUUAUGCUCGUGUAGAAGGGAGAGAAAUCAUCUCUAAUUUGAGUAAAGCAGCUGGUUUGGCUACUAUGAUUGCUGCUAUGCGUCCUGAUAUUGAUAAUAUUGAUGAGUAUGUUAGGAACACAACUGCUAGAGCUUUUAGUGUUGUUGCCUCUGCUUUGGGGAUUCCAGCACUGUUGCCUUUCUUGAAAGCUGUCUGUCAAAGUAAGAAAUCAUGGCAAGCUCGCCACACUGGAAUCAAGAUUGUGCAGCAGAUUGCUAUUUUGAUUGGUUGUGCUGUUCUACCUCAUUUGAGGUCUCUUGUUGAAAUCAUAGAGCACGGUCUCAAUGAUGAGAAUCAAAAAGUGCGGACAAUCACUGCUUUGUCCUUGGCUGCUCUUGCUGAAGCUGCUGCACCGUAUGGUAUUGAAAGCUUUGAUUCUGUGUUGAAGCCAUUGUGGAAGGGUAUUAGGUCACACCGUGGGAAGGUCUUGGCUGCUUUCUUGAAGGCAAUUGGUUUUAUUAUUCCUCUAAUGGAUGCUAUUUAUGCCAGUUACUACACCAAGGAAGUCAUGAUUAUCCUAAUACGUGAAUUUCAGUCUCCCGAUGAAGAAAUGAAGAAAAUUGUGCUUAAAGUGGUCAAGCAAUGUGUGAGUACUGAGGGUGUGGAAGCUGAAUACAUACGUUCUGAUAUUCUUCCCGAGUUCUUUAGGAACUUCUGGGUUAGAAGGAUGGCAUUGGAUAGGAGAAAUUAUCGGCAACUUGUGGAUACAACUGUGGAGAUUGCUAACAAGGUUGGUGUCAAAGAUAUUGUAGGCAGAAUUGUUGAGGAUCUUAAAGAUGAGAGCGAACCAUACAGGCGAAUGGUUAUGGAAACAAUUGAGAAGGUGGUUGCAAACUUAGGAGCAUCUGAUAUUGAUGCUAGAUUGGAAGAACUUUUGAUUGAUGGAAUUCUUUAUGCUUUCCAAGAGCAGACGAGUGAUGAUGCCAAUGUGAUGCUUAAUGGGUUUGGUGCUGUUGUGAAUGCUCUUGGACAGAGGGUGAAACCUUAUCUUCCACAGAUUUGUGGUACCAUAAAGUGGCGCUUGAACAACAAAAGUGCGAAGGUGAGACAACAAGCAGCGGAUCUUAUUUCUAGGAUUGCUGUUGUCAUGAAGCAGUGUCAAGAGGAACAGCUGAUGGGUCAUCUUGGUGUUGUCUUGUAUGAGUAUUUGGGAGAAGAAUACCCUGAAGUUCUUGGAUCAAUUCUUGGAGCUCUCAAGGCCAUUGUCAAUGUGAUUGGUAUGACAAAAAUGACACCCCCUAUCAAAGAUUUGCUUCCUAGGUUGACCCCCAUUUUGAAGAAUAGGCAUGAAAAGGUCCAGGAGAAUUGUAUUGAUCUUGUUGGUCGUAUUGCUGAUCGUGGUGCUGAGUUUGUUCCGGCUAGGGAGUGGAUGAGAAUUUGUUUUGAACUCCUGGAGAUGCUUAAGGCCCACAAGAAGGGCAUUCGACGAGCUACUGUGAACACAUUUGGUUAUAUUGCCAAAGCCAUAGGACCCCAAGAUGUCCUUGCUACCUUGCUAAACAAUCUGAAGGUCCAGGAGCGCCAGAAUCGUGUGUGCACAACUGUUGCUAUCGCCAUUGUUGCAGAAACAUGUUCACCUUUUACAGUCUUGCCAGCCCUGAUGAAUGAGUAUCGUGUUCCAGAGCUUAAUGUGCAGAACGGUGUCUUGAAAUCCCUCUCUUUCCUGUUCGAGUACAUAGGGGAAAUGGGUAAAGACUAUAUAUAUGCAGUGACUCCAUUACUUGAGGAUGCACUCAUGGACAGAGAUCUGGUUCAUAGGCAAACUGCAGCUUCUGCUGUCAAGCACAUGGCUUUGGGGGUUGCUGGAUUAGGUUGCGAGGAUGCUCUAAUCCACCUACUUAACUAUGUGUGGCCAAACAUCUUUGAGACUUCCCCUCAUGUCAUCAAUGCUGUAAUGGAAGCCAUUGAAGGAAUGAGAAUGGCCUUGGGUGCUGCUAUUGUGUUAAACUAUUGUCUCCAGGGGCUGUUCCAUCCUGCCCGGAAGGUCAGGGAAGUGUACUGGAAGAUCUACAACUCGCUGUAUAUUGGAUCCCAAGAUGCUCUUGUAGCAGCUUAUCCGGUGUUGGAGGAUGAACAGAAUAACGUAUAUAGUAGGCCUGAGUUGACAAUGUUCAUCUGAAGUGUUAUUUUGUCCCUUAUUUUUGGUGACCAAAGAGGACCAAGGGAGUCAUCUAGAUCAGAUCCUAGGCCAACUCUCUCUUUGAUUGCUAUAGUCUGUUUACAUCCAUGCAGUUUCUAGGUGCUUGUGUGCUGCUGUGUAGUUUGUUAAGUAUAAUAGCACUCUAUGGAACUAAUCUUAAUUUCUGGCCAUCCAUGUGAUUUUCUUGCUGUGUUAUUAAUGUGCACAUUUAUACGUGUUUCACUUGGGUUCACAAGUUUGUGUUUUUCGAUGUUUUUGCUAUUUGGUGCAUGAUAAACUAGACGAGUCCUCCAACUAUCCUGGAACACCAGUACUACGACUGAGUUGGGCAGCAAAUCCAAACCCUUAUUGCUGAUGGUAGGCAAUGAAUCGAGGUAAAUGGUUCGUAAGUCACUUUACUUGAUGGAACAAUAUGAUCUUGGCUUUGGUUGUUUGCUUCUCUUGUGUUUGUUUUAAAUUAUAAAUUGUUUGUCUAAUGAUGAAGUGGUUUUUAGGCAUUCAUUUUUGAAUCUAUUCACAAGUUUGCUUCUGGCAUUUAGGUGUUCUUCCAAGGAUUAGAAAAGGUGCAGGUGAGUACUGUGAAUUUGUGAGCUGCUGGGAGUUUUUGUUCUGUUCUUGGGAGGACUGACGAUGAAAUUAUUUACCGGUUGAACAGUUUAAUCUUCUGCCUUAGGUAUACAUUCUGGCAAUCUCUCUGGUAUUUCGGUUUUUUCUUGAUGACAAUUUUUUCUUCUCGUGCAGAUAGAUCAGUGUGCAAUGAGCACAAGCUAUGUAUGGCAGUUCACUAUUGAAGCCAGCACAAGUAAAGAAUGUAUUAAUCUGACUAAGAACUGUUGUUUUUCUCAACAGAUGCUUGUAUUAUAAAAGGAUUAUCAUCUGAUUCAAGUUCAACUGAAUUCCUUAUUUAUAAGGACAUUCAUUCCUUUUCAUCUGAUGUUUAUAGGAAAUUCAAAUUGGAAAUAUGAAUAAAAUCAGUGUGAACGAAUUGAGUUGGGCUUUGAAUAAUUUAUAUUCGGCUUGUUAAAGAUUUUAUUGAGCUGUAGCUCGACUUAAGCACAGAUUUAAAGUUUGAGCUCGGAUAUGAAACUUGAAUUAGGCUUGCAUUUAGUUUCAUUUAAGAAGCUUGGAAGGGUGGUUAAUUAAAGCAGAAUUUUUUCUCUUUAAAAA
rnacentral:misc_RNA from 1 species